CAGUAGCCACGGUAAUACGUAGGUGGCAAGCGUUGUCCGGAAUUAUUGGGCGUAAAGGGCUCGCAGGCGGUUUCUUAAGUCUGAUGUGAAAGCCCCCGGCUCAACCGGGGAGGGUCAUUGGAAACUGGGAAACUUGAGCGCAGAAGAGGAGAGUGGAAUUCCACGUGUAGCGGUGAAAUGCGUAGAGAUGUGGAGGAACACCAGUGGCGAAGGCGACUCUCUGGUCUGUAACUGACGCUGAGGAGCGAAAGCGUGGGGAGCGAACAGGAUUAGAUACCCGCGUAGUCCCUGUCUCUUAUAC
rnacentral:rRNA from 1 species